rnacentral:rRNA from 1 species
CCAGACUCCUACGGGAGGCAGCAGUGGGGAAUAUUGGGCAAUGGGCGCAAGCCUGACCCAGCAACGCCGCGUGAAGGAAGAAGGCUUUCGGGUUGUAAACUUCUUUUAUUCGGGACGAAGAAAGUGACGGUACCGAAUGAAUAAGCCACGGCUAACUACGUGCCAGCAGCCGCGGUAAUACGUAGGUGGCAAGCGUUAUCCGGAUUUAUUGGGUGUAAAGGGCGUGUAGGCGGGAAUGCAAGUCAGAUGUGAAAACUCAGGGCUCAACCCUGAGCCUGCAUUUGAAACUGUAUUUCUUGAGUGCUGGAGAGGCAAUCGGAAUUCCGUGUGUAGCGGUGAAAUGCGUAGAUAUCAGGAGGAACACCGGCGGCGAAGGCGGCCUGCUGGACCGUGACUGACGUUGAGGCUCGAGAGCGUGGGGAGCAAACAGGAUUAGAUACCCGUGUAUCC